GACGAACGCUGGCGGCGUGCUUAACACAUGCAAGUCGAACGAAGUGGCGAACGGGUGAGUAAUACGUGGGUAACCUGCCCUCCUUUUUGGGAUAAGCCUUGGAAACGGGGUCUAAUACCGAAUAAAGGGGGAUGGGCUCGCGGCCUAUCAGCUUGUUGGUGGGGCGAUGGCCUACCAAGGCGGUGACGGGUAGCCGGCCUGAGAGGGUGAACGGGCACAUAGGGACGGAGAGACGGCCCAGACUCCUACGGGGGGCAGCAGUGGGGGAUAUUUCACAAUGGGCGAAAGCCUGAUGCAGCGACGCCGCGUGGGGGAUGAGGGGUUUCGGGUUGUAAACCUCUUUCGCUAGAGAGCGGGUAGGUGGAGAAGAAGCGCCGGCUAACUACGUGCCAGCCGCCGCGGUAAUUC
rnacentral:rRNA from 1 species